UACGUAGGGACCAAGCGUUGUUCGGAUUUACUGGGCGUCAAGGGCGCGUAGGCGGCGUGUUAAGUCAGCUGUGAAAUCUCCAAGCUUAACUUGGAACGGUCAGCUGAUACUGAUGUGCUAGAGUGCAGAAGGGGCAACCGGAAUUCUUGGUGUAGCGGUGAAAUGCGUAGAUAUCAAGAGGAACACCUGAGGUGAAGACGGGUUGCUGGGCUGACACUGACGCUGAGGCGCGAAAGCGAGGGUAGCAAACGGG
rnacentral:rRNA from 1 species